GAUGAACGCUGGCGGCGUGCCUAAUACAUGCAAGUCGAGCGAACGGACGAGAAGCUUGCUUUUCUGAUGUUAGCGGCGGACGGGUGAGUAACACGUGGAUAACCUACCUAUAAGACUGGGAUAACUUCGGGAAACCGGAGCUAAUACCGGAUAAUAUUUUGAACCGCAUGGUUCAAAAGUGAAAGACGGUCUUGCUGUCACUUAUAGAUGGAUCCGCGCUGCAUUAGCUAGUUGGUAAGGUAACGGCUUACCAAGGCAACGAUGCAUAGCCGGCCUGAGAGGGUGAUCAGCCACACUGGAACUGAGACACGGUCCAGACUCCUACGGGAGGCAGCAGUAGGGAAUCUUCCGCAAUGGGCGAAAGCCUGACGGAGCAACGCCGCGUGAGUGAUGAAGGUCUUCGGAUCGUAAAACUCUGUUAUUAGGGAAGAACAUAUGUGUAAGUAACUGUGCACAUCUUGACGGUACCUAAUCAGAAAGCCACGGCUAACUACGUG
rnacentral:rRNA from 1 species